CCUACGGGAGGCAGCAGUAGGGAAUAUUGGGCAAUGGGCGAAAGCCUGACCCAGCAACGCCGCGUGCACGAUGAAGGUCUUCGGAUCGUAAAGUGCUUUUCUGAGAGAUGAGAAAGGACAGUAUCUCAGGAAUAAGUCUCGGCUAACUACGUGCCAGCAGCCGCGGUAACACGUAGGAGGCAAGCGUUAUCCGGAUUUACUGGGUGUAAAGCGCGUGCAGGCGGUUCGGUAAGUUGGAUGUGAAAGCUCCUGGCUCAACUGGGAGAGGUCGUUCAAAACUGCCGGACUUGAGGACAGUAGAGGGAGAUGGAAUUCCCGGUGUAGUGGUGAAAUGCGUAGAUAUCGGGAGGAACACCAGUGGCGAAAGCGGUCUCCUGGACUGUCUCUGACGCUCAGACGCGAAAGCUAGGGUAGCAAACGGGAUUAGAGACCCCGGUAGUCCUAGCUGUAAACGAUGUGAACUUGGCGUUGGUGGUGUAAAAACCAUCGGUGCCGAAGCUAACGCGAUAAGUUCACCACCUGGGGACUACGACCGCAAGGUUAAAACUCAAAGGAAUUGACGG
rnacentral:rRNA from 1 species